rnacentral:rRNA from 1 species
AGUGAACGCUGGCGAUAGGCCUAACACAUGCAAGUCGAACGGCAGCACAGUAAGAGCUUGCUCUUACGGGUGGCGAGUGGCGGACGGGUGAGGAAUACAUCGGAAUCUACUUUUUCGUGGGGGAUAACGUAGGGAAACUUACGCUAAUACCGCAUACGACCUACGGGUGAAAGCAGGGGAGCUUCGGAACUUGCGCGAUUGAAUGAGCCGAUGUCGGAUUAGCUAGUUGGCGGGGUAAAGGCCCACCAAGGCGACGAUCCGUAGCUGGUCUGAGAGGAUGAUCAGCCACACUGGAACUGAGACACGGUCCAGACUCCUACGGGAGGCAGCAGUGGGGAAUAUUGGACAAUGGGCGCAAGCCUGAUCCAGCCAUACCGCGUGGGUGAAGAAGGCCUUCGGGUUGUAAAGCCCUUUUGUUGGGAAAGAAAAGCAGCAGGUUAAUACCCCGCUGUUCUGACGGUACCCAAAGAAUAAGCACCGGCUAACUUCGUG